GCACCACCGGCGGACGGCUCAGUAACACGUCGGUAACCUACCCUCGGGAGGGGGAUAACCCCGGGAAACUGGGGCUAAUUCCCCAUAGGCCUGAGGUACUGGAAGGUCCUCAGGCCGAAAGGGACUUAUGUCCGCCCGAGGAUGGGCCGGCGGCCGAUUAGGUAGUUGGUGGGGUAAUGGCCCACCAAGCCGAAGAUCGGUACGGGCUGUGAGAGCAGGAGCCCGGAGAUGGACACUGAGACACGGGUCCAGGCCCUACGGGGCGCAGCAGGCGCGAAACCUCCGCAAUGCGGGAAACCGCGACGGGGGGACCCCGAGUGCCGUGGCAACGCCACGGCUUUUCCGGAGUGUAAAAAGCUCCGGGAAUAAGGGCAGGGUAAGGCCGGUGGCUGCCGCCACGGGAAUUCAGGUGGCCCCAGUGGUGGUCGCUAUA
rnacentral:rRNA from 1 species